GUGGGGAAUCUUCCGCAAUGGACGAAAGUCUGACGGAGCAACGCCGCGUGAGUGAAGAAGGUUUUCGGAUCGUAAAGCUCUUUCGUUAGGGACGAACGUGCUCUUUGUGAAUAAUGAUGAGUAAUGACGGUACCUAAAUAAGAAGCCACGGCUAACUACGUGCCAGCAGCCGCGGUAAUACGUAGGUGGCAAGCGUUGUCCGGAAUUAUUGGACGUAAAGCGCGCGCAGGCGGGAUAUCAAGUCUGUCUUAAAAGUGCGAGGCUCAACCUCGUGAGGGGACAGAAACUGGUAUUCUUGAGUGUCGGAGAGGAAAGUGGAAUUCCAAGUGUAGCGGUGAAAUGCGUAGAGAUGUGGAAGAACACCAGUGGCGAAGGCGACUUUCUGGACGAUGUCUGACGCUGAGGCGCGAAAGCUAGGGGAGCGAACGGGAUUAGAUACCCUGGUAGUCC
rnacentral:rRNA from 1 species